rnacentral:rRNA from 1 species
CACUCCUACGGGAGGCAGCAGUGGGGAAUAUUGCACAAUGGGCGGAAGCCUGAUGCAGCAACGCCGCGUGCGGGAUGACGGCCUUCGGGUUGUAAACCGCUUUCGCCUGUGACGAAGCGUGAGUGACGGUAAUGGGUAAAGAAGCACCGGCUAACUACGUGCCAGCAGCCGCGGUGAUACGUAGGGUGCGAGCGUUGUCCGGAUUUAUUGGGCGUAAAGGGCUCGUAGGUGGUUGAUCGCGUCGGAAGUGUAAUCUUGGGGCUUAACCCUGAGCGUGCUUUCGAUACGGGUUGACUUGAGGAAGGUAGGGGAGAAUGGAAUUCCUGGUGGAGCGGUGGAAUGCGCAGAUAUCAGGAGGAACACCAGUGGCGAAGGCGGUUCUCUGGGCCUUUCCUGACGCUGAGGAGCGAAAGCGUGGGGAGCGAACAGGCUUAGAUACCCCGGUAGUCCCA